rnacentral:misc_RNA from 1 species
ACCAAUAAGCCAAAUUAUUUUAAUGAAUGUUUUUAGACACUGGUUAAUAAUACGUUAUUAAAGUUUUACUAUUUUCAUUAUCAUAACAUUUUACUCACCUUGAUAAGAUUUUAUCACAAUCAUUUAUAUUUAACUAUAAUUCACCUUAAAUCAUGAUAAGUAAAAUUCUAUAACAAUGGGUAGUAGCACUCACUAGAAAAACUCUAAGAUCAAAUACCAUGGCAAUUACCAUAACAAAACAGUAUCAAUCUCACUUUUAUACUAUCAAAGUCCAACCAUCUGUAAGUUUUAGCUCAGUAAUACUGGAGUCAACUCCAGGAUUGUGACAGUUUGAGUUCCAGUUUUAGUGAGACUACUAAUGAAUAUUAUUGUCUAAUCUAAUUCAUUUGAACAGCAUUUCUCACAACAAUACUCAUAUGGACAUUAAGAUCAAUACAAUUAAUGGUUUCAACUCAGUUAACUCGUGAAAAUUUCUAGCUGGGAUGAUCAGGUCAGAUUUUCCACUCCAUCUAACUAGACAUUUAGAAAGGUCUUGUUUCAUGAAAUUUACCUGUAGUUUUCAUUAGAAUCAGUAGCUUAAACUUUUUCUAAGGUGAAAAGAUUGUCACUAAAGACAAAGUAUUACAAACUAACAAGAAUUCAAUUUAUCACCUCAGUUAAUUUAGUUGGUAUUCACAGAGGUCCUUGUAUGCAGUGCCCUACCUAUUCAUCCAAAUCAAAAUUAGAUGGAUAUUAUUCCACAUCUGUUACCAUAAUAAUCUGCUUACCUUCAGCUUUGUAUUUCUCUGCCUUAGUUUCCUUGGAAUUCUCGGGAAGGCCCUUGCAGUUGAUGGUGUGCCAAACUGGUCUCUCUUCUAGGAACAAUGGGUGCCUGCAGAGCAUUGGACUUUGUAUUGUAAGGGCAUAUUUGCAAGUGGAUAGCUCUGUGAUAGAACUAAUCAUAGCUCUAGGCUCUGAGCAUACAAAUCUCACCUGCACUCAGUUUCACGGGGCUGAUUUGUAAGGUCACACAUGGUUCCAUUUGUGUAUUGAUGAGCAUGAUACCUUUGAGAUGCAUCUUUUGAGCGAGGAUCUUUCAAAGUAGAAACAUCAGAGAGAUUCUGGUUGAAUGCAGCUGUGGCUUCUUCAUCAUAUACACCCAAAACAAAUUCCUGAACCACCUUAUCAUCUUCCAAAUGAACUUGCCGUAACUUCUUCUGAUAACAAAAUUCAUAAGACCACCAACCUUCUUGCUGAAGGAAAUUAAUUAUCAUAGUAAUUAUUCAAGUCAUUUGUUCAAAAAGUCAUGAGAAAACAAAUAAGAACAGUUACUUGCAAGCUAUCUAAUUCCAACCAAGAAAAAGGGUUAGUAGUGGCAAUUUUUGCACACAUCAGAGCAUUGUUUAACAAAGGACGUGCUUAAGGUAUUUGUUAUACUAACUCUGAUGAAACAUUGGUCUUUCAACACUUCAAGUAGCUCAUCUGGUGUUUUCAAUUUGACACGUUUCUCAGUUUCGACAAUCAUGCUGCUCACAUUCAAUUGAUUAACAGGCUUUCCACUCUUGACUUUCUCCACCUUGGGCAAGUAACAUAAAUAAUUCUGUCCAUUCUUGUCAGGCAUAACCACUGACUCCUGGUCAUCAUCCUGCAAAGUUGUUGGCAUCCAUGUUAACAUUAAAAGAAAAGCUACACUUCUGCAGUUAACAUCCAGAAUACAAUUUCCAUGCAUAAACUGGUAGGGAAAGUCAACCACAGGUUAUAGUCACAAGAAAGACCAAAGUGCUCACUAGGUUUUUGUGGCAACACAGUUUUCAUCAAAAAGCCUCACUAGGCCCUGUGGAAGCCAUAAUGACUAAAAAAUGAAAGUUAAUAUACUAACCUGAGCAGAGUAAAACCAAGGUAGUAAAGAUUUCAUACAAAUUGAAACUUCAGUUAUUCAAGACAAAAUAUAAUUCAGUAAUAUGAUAGGGUCUCAACAGCAACACAAUCUGUAAUGUUUGGAAAUCAUUCCUCAUCUUACAAGAUCCACCAAAGGAUUUUUUUUUUUCAAGCCAUAACUGCAAUCUAAUGUAAUACUGUCCAAAAGUCCCAUUCAGUAUGCAUAAUGUAAUACUGCCAUCUAAGACCCAUGAUAUGAAUAUUAGUAAGAAGUUUGAGAAAUAGACAUACAAACUUAAUGAAUAACAACGACUAUAACAAAAUCAGUCUCAGAUUGAGAUGAUGCUGGUACAAACUCAGUUUUUAUCAUUUAUAAAGCAAAUGGAAAACUAUAAACCAAAGCUUAUUUACAGGAUGAAAAGGUGAGUCUUCUGGAUGGAAUUCAAUCUUAUACUUUGGUUCACGAGAGCUGCGACUGAAGGAACCACCCACAGGACCUGGGAAGAUCUGAUCGGCUAAAACAUGACUCCACAGAGUGUAUACAACAAGAAUUGACCAUAAAAAUCUCAUCUUUCGUAUU